rnacentral:rRNA from 1 species
AGAGUUUGAUCCUGGCUCAGGACAAACGCUGGCGGCGUGCGUAACACAUGCAAGUCGGACGAGGUUGUGGGGUUUUCGGACCUCAGAGCUGAGUGGCGGACGGGUGAGUAACACGUGGAUAACCUGCCCUGGUGUGGGGGAUACCCUGUAGAAAUACGGGCUAAUACCGCAUGAGGUGAGACUGGGGGGACCUGGUGUCA